rnacentral:misc_RNA from 1 species
GAUGAAGAACGUAGCGAAAUGCGAUACGUAAUGUGAAUUGCAAAUUCAGUGAAUCAUCGAGUCUUUGAACGCACAUUGCGCCCCCUGGUAUUCCGGGGGGCAUGCCUGUCCGAGCGUCAUUGCUGCCCUCAAGCACGGCUUGUGUGUUGGGCCCCGUCCUCCGAUCCCGGGGGACGGGCCCGAAAGGCAGCGGCGGCACCGCGUCCGGUCCUCGAGCGUAUGGGGCUUUGUCACCCGCUCUGUAGGCCCGGCCGGCGCUUGCCGAUCAACCCAAAUUUUUAUCCUGGUUGACCUCGGAUCAGGUAGGGAUACCCGCUGAACUUAAGCAUAUCAAUAAGCGGAGGA